UGUUCCAUAUAUAUCAUGCGGCAUAAUGUCCCUUGAGCCCAGCGUUGCAGUCAGUGAACACCGUGAGCAUGAAGCUUGUCUGAGAAGAGUCUGCACUUCCAGUGGAGCCCAUGUCUUGAACUGGAGCGGUGAUCUUUAUUGAGCAUACCUGAUCUAGCAAGUUGGUGCUAUUUGUGUAUCAUUUCCCAUUUACAGGACAGUGUAUGACCAAACCAGAGCUGAUCUUCAAGUUGGAGCAGGGAUUAUCACCAUGGAGUGUAACAGAAGGAUCAGUUCAGAGGCUUCCAGACAUUUCCUUUAAAUCUGUCUCACUGGAGGCCUGUACAAUUGAGAAACUGUACACAUAUAAGAAACCUGGGAAAACUUCCUUGAAAAGCCACUAGUCACUGUGCGUCAGAAUACCUGUACAUGUUGAAAGCCAUGAAUAUAAUAAAGGUUGCUGGAAUUCACCGCUUACUGUGCAUCAAAAGAACUCUUACAGAUGGCAGUCCAUAUGAUAUGAACGUUAUCAAUACGGUGGAGCUUUCCCCAUGCACUAUGCAUGACAUAACUUGACCAGAUGCCUGAACAGCAAAAAGCUAUAUAAUGGCCAUGGAUCUGGCAAAGUGUUCUUUCCAAGUCACAGCUCAUAUUGUGUCAGACAAAUUGUACCGAUGAAAAGGCGUGGGAACUUCUGUGAGCCUGAGCCC